rnacentral:rRNA from 1 species
GACGAACGCUGGCGGCGUGCCUAAUACAUGCAAGUCGAACGCAUUUUCUUUCACCGUAGCUUGCUACACCGAAAGAAAAUGAGUGGCGAACGGGUGAGUAACACGUGGGUAACCUGCCCAUCAGCGGGGGAUAACACUUGGAAACAGGUGCUAAUACCGCAUAAUUCCAUUUACCGCAUGGUAAAUGGAUGAAAGGCGCUUUUGCGUCACUGAUGGAUGGACCCGCGGUGCAUUAGCUAGUUGGUGGGGUAACGGCCUACCAAGGCCGCGAUGCAUAGCCGACCUGAGAGGGUGAUCGGCCACACUGGGACUGAGACACGGCCCAGACUCCUACGGGAGGCAGCAGUAGGGAAUCUUCGGCAAUAGACGCAAGUCUGACCGAGCAACGCCGCGUGAGUGAAGAAGGUUUUCGGAUCGUAAAACUCUGUUGUUAGAGAAGAACAAGGAUGAGAGUGGAAAGUUCAUCCCUUGACGGUAUCUAACCAGAAAGCCACGGCUAACUACGUG